rnacentral:lncRNA from 1 species
CACACAUCUAGCUAGGAGCCAGACAAAGAUGCAGGUCAGGGGUCUUUGUCUGGCAUGAAUAAUGGCUGCAAUUAAUUCUUCUCCACCUGCUGGUAAGUUGAAUUUGAUUACUGUGUCCAUUUCACACACGAGGAAACAGGCACUGAAAGGUUGCGUGGCUUUGUGUGGCUCUGGGGAUCAAGCCCAGGACCGGCUAUUUCUAACUGCAUGUGUGGUGAGCACUCUGUCACUACACUCCACGUGCAGCCCAGCUGCAGGGCUCCCAGAAGGCAAAGCCAGGUUGAAAUCCCUGGCAGCCCACAGGAACCACUCACUGUAGUCCUUGGGGGAAAGUGCAAGGUUACGAAGCUUGGGCACCGGUGAGGUGAUGCCAGAACCUUCUGAGGUCACCUCUAGGACAGGGAAGCCAUGGAGGUGUGACAAGGAGAGUGACAUGAUGGCCAUCACCACAGAGGCAGGAGACACAGGACAGAGAGGGACAAAACAAAAGGAGAGAGAUUUGUUUUUUUGCGUUUGUGAUGCUGGGAUCCAGUCCAGGCAAGUGCUCUAACCCUGAGCUGCAUCCGCAGUCCUGUCAGAAAUGAAGAGACAGCCCUCUCCCUCGUCCACCGCUGCCGCCUCCUUCUUCUGCUGCUCCUGGAGCUGCUUGUGUGCUCGUUAGGUGUGGACCUGGUACCUCUUUUGUGAAGCGGCAGCUGAGGAGACUCCGGCGCCCGCCAUGGCCAACGAAAAGCCCAAGGAGGGAGUCAAGACUGAGAACAACGAUCAUAUUAACUUGAAGGUGGCGGGGCAGGAUGGUUCUGUGGUGCAGUUUAAGAUUAACUUAGUAAACAAAUGAAAGCAUAUUGUGG